AGGAUUCGUCCAAUUGAAGCAGAGGACAGUGGCGGACGGGUGAGUAACGCGUGAGGAACCUGCCUUUCAGAGGGGGACAACAGUUGGAAACGACUGCUAAUACCGCAUGACACAUUGGGGUCGCAUGGCCCUGAUGUCAAAGAUUUAUCGCUGAAAGAUGGCCUCGCGUCUGAUUAGCUAGUUGGUGAGGUAACGGCCCACCAAGGCGACGAUCAGUAGCCGGACUGAGAGGAAGGUCCCCACAUUGGAACUGAGACACGGUCCAAACUCC
rnacentral:rRNA from 1 species